rnacentral:rRNA from 1 species
UUUGAUCCUGGCUCAGAUUGAACGCUGGCGGCAGGCCUAACACAUGCAAGUCGAACGGCAGCACAGAAGAGCUUGCUCUUUGGGUGGCGAGUGGCGGACGGGUGAGUAAUGUCUGGGAAACUGCCCGAUGGAGGGGGAUAACUACUGGAAACGGUAGCUAAUACCGCAUAACGUCGCAAGACCAAAGUGGGGGACCUUCGGGCCUCACACCAUCGGAUGUGCCCAGAUGGGAUUAGCUAGUAGGUGGGGUAAUGGCUCACCUAGGCGACGAUCCCUAGCUGGUCUGAGAGGAUGACCAGCCACACUGGAACUGAGACACGGUCCAGACUCCUACGGGAGGCAGCAGUGGGGAAUAUUGCACAAUGGGCGCAAGCCUGAUGCAGCCAUGCCGCGUGUAUGAAGAAGGCCUUCGGGUUGUAAAGUACUUUCAGCGGGGAGGAAGGCGGUGAGGUUAAUAACCUCGCCGAUUGACGUUACCCGCAGAAGAAGCACCGGCUAACUCCGUGCCAGCAGCCGCGGUAAUACGGGAGGGUGCAAGCGUUAAUCGGAAUUACUGGGCGUAAAGCGCACGCAGGCGGUCUGUUAAGUCAGAUGUGAAAUCCCCGGGCUUAAACCUGGGAACUGCAUUUGAAACUGGCAGGCUUGGAGUCUCGUAGAGGGGGUAGAUUCCAGUGGUAGCCGUUGAAAUGCGUAAAGAUCUGAGAUACCGUGGCCAAGCGCCCCCUGACGAAGACUGACGCUCAGGUGGCGAAAGCGUGGGAGCAAACAGGAUUAGAUACCUGGUAGUCACGCGUAAACGAUGUCGACUUGGAGGUUGUGCCCUUGAGGCGUGGCUUCCGGGAGCUAACGCGUUAAGUCGACCGCCUGGGGAGUACGGCCGCAAGGUUAAAACUCAAAUGAAUUGACGGGGGCCCGCACAAGCGGUGGAGCAUGUGGUUUAAUUCGAUGCAACGCGAAGAACCUUACCUGGCCUUGACAUCCAGAGAACUUAGCAGAGAUGCUUUGGUGCCUUCGGGAACUCUGAGACAGGUGCUGCAUGGCUGUCGUCAGCUCGUGUUGUGAAAUGUUGGGUUAAGUCCCGCAACGAGCGCAACCCUUAUCCUUUGUUGCCAGCGGUUCGGCCGGGAACUCAAAGGAGACUGCCGGUGAUAAACCGGAGGAAGGUGGGGAUGACGUCAAGUCAUCAUGGCCCUUACGGCCAGGGCUACACACGUGCUACAAUGGCGCAUACAAAGAGAAGCGACCUCGCGAGAGCAAGCGGACCUCAUAAAGUGCGUCGUAGUCCGGAUUGGAGUCUGCAACUCGACUCCAUGAAGUCGGAAUCGCUAGUAAUCGUAGAUCAGAAUGCUACGGUGAAUACGUUCCCGGGCCUUGUACACACCGCCCGU